UACGAUCCUACGAUCCAGAAUUUGCAAAUCGAUCCGGGUCGUAGCUGAAAUCGUAACUGCGUCAGGAUCGUUAGUGGAAUCGUUCGGGAUCGUUCAGAAUCGGUAGGAUCGUAUUGAAUCGCGAUCCUAUCAACGAUUCUAACGAUCCAGCUUUUAACCUUUUCAAUGAAGCCCAAGUUUGAGAGAAGCCUGUUUGAAGCCCAAUACAAAGCAAAAGAAACCUACGCGACCUUUCUCAGUCGUACGAUGGCACCUUUGAAUCGUCUCCUCCACCUCGCCCCUCUUCUUUGCUCGAAUUUAAGCUCCAUAGUCGUAUCCAAAGAUUAAUUGAAGCUCGAAUCCAGGCAUCUGACAUCCCUUCUCUUUAGUAAAUGAAUCAAAGAUCUCUUUUUACAAACGAGUUCAAUCAACAAGUAGGUUAAUUACAGGUUUUGAAUAUGGAAAGUUCUGCCAAAAAAAGGGAAAAUGGUUAAGAAAUUAUGAUGAUGUCAAUCUCAAGGGAAAGGGAACAUCUGGGGAAUUAAGCAAUUUUUUGACGACCGAAAUUUUGGCUAGGAUGAAAAUUAGUUUGUGUUGUUAGGUAUUUAGAUUAAUUACUAGAAGUUGUAAAUAUAGUGCUUAAAAAAUAUUUUAUUUUCCUUGUAUUCUUUGGAAUUGUAAGCUUUAAAAUAAUAAUCGUAGAACUGUGUUACCAUGUAUUAAUGUAUGACACUAAUAUCGAUCUUAUGUGAGCAAAAGUUUUUUUUGGUUGUUUUUAUUAGAAAA